GACAGAGGGUGCAAACGUUGUUCGGAAUUACUGGGCGUAAAGCGUGUGUAGGCGGCUUGGCAAGUUGGAUGUGAAAGCCCACGGCUCAACCGUGGAAGCGCACCCAAAACUGCUUCGCUCGAGUCUCGGACAGGAAGGUGGAAUGCUUGGUGUAGAGGUGAAAUUCGUAGAUAUCAAGCAGAACACCUGCGGCGAAGGCGGCCUUCUGGACGAUGACUGACGCUGAGACACGAAAGCGUGGGGAGCAAACAGG
rnacentral:rRNA from 1 species